GACCUUGAAGCUGGCCAGUCUCCCCUCCGGGGAACCCAAGACCUUUGUUCUGGGACACGGGAAGGGAUGCUGCCCUUGGAGGUGCGCCUCAGGAGGCUGAUGCCAUGGGCAUUGUACUAACUGCUGGUACGCCGUGUGCGGCUCUUACUGGGGUGAUCAUGCCCUCUCCGCUGGUGAGGAAACCGGUUCCCAGAGGGGGUUCCCAGGCCGUUCCUGUUCCACACUUCCUGCCUCGAAGGAGUUUUCAAACUUUUGCCAUCACCCACUCGUAUUAGAAUCUUCUGGGCCAUUCAUCUUGCAGACUCCUGGGCAGCACCAUGACCCCUUAACUCAGAAUCCCUGAGGCCAGGCCCAGGAGCCUCUAUUUUUAAUAAACUCCUCUAGGAGAUUCCUCCAGACACUGCAAUGUCUUCACUUCCCCCACAAGGACCUGAGCCUAAUGUCUGCAGUGAGGAAGGGUCUGGCGUAGACAGGGAUUAGGGAAAAGCAUGACAUCGUCAGAUAAGAUGCCCAAACUCAGACAUGGAUUAGGACCCAUGAAGUGGGGGCUGGGCUGACCCUCAGGAAUGUGUUCAGACUGAGCUAAGCUUUCAGGAAAAUUGGAAAGACCCCCAGACCCAGAGUCUGUCUGAGUUUAGCUUCACUGCACAAAGGCUGCCUUGGGAAAGCUGAUAUCGCAAGAAGAAACAGGAACUUAAUACUUCAGAGGGGCCCAGGCAGCCACCCUGUGGAGACCCCACAGAUCCCAAGGCUACAACCCAGGCCUGCUCACUCAACACCUGGCCAGGUGGGCCAGGCGAAGUCAGGGUGGGUCUUCUGGCUAAGCCGGGAGCAUCAUAUAUGCCGCCCCCCUCAACCUCUACCACCCGGAAUAAGACUUGGCUUUCCCUGGAGGGAAAAGAGGGAGUCAAGGACCCCGUCUCUACUCGAGGUUUAACACCCCCUGCUGGAGGAGGGGAACAGGAGAGGGAGGAGGUCAGAGCCAGGACCACAGGCACUCUGGGGGCCCUGCUGGGACUGUAAGAGUCCAGUCUAAAAUUCUGCAGAUGAAAGAUUCCAAGAUUCUAAGAUUGCAAGCCCCAUGAGUCUAAGAUUCUAACAGAAGGAUUUCAGGUUUUUAAGAUUCCAUCACCCUAAGGGUCCAUACUGAGAGUUCUUAAAACUUCAUGUCCCAUUGUUCCUCAUUGGUCCCUAAACCUGAGGGCCCUCGCAGUGACAAGAGCACAAAGAGAGAGUGAGAGAGAGAGAUAUGGGGAGAAAAACAGCUAAAAUCAAAUACUAGCAACAGCUCCAUUCUUUGAGUCAGAGAUGGACCCUAGCAAGGGCCCAGGACCCUCCUUUUGAGUGUGAUGUUGAUUUUCUCUCCUGGCAUUUCCUAUUCUGGAAGGAGCAUUUCAUAAAACCAGUGUUCCCGGGAGCAGACUUGGAGAACCAGCGCUUAGACACCAUUAAGAAACUGGAAAGGCAAACCAAAGACUGAAAGAAAAUACUUGGAAUCCCGGGUCUGACAAAGCACUUGUAUCCAGAGCAUAUAAAGAACUUUUACAAUAUGAGCAACACAAUACAAUUAAAACCACAGUGAGAUAGGACUUCACAGCCGAUAGCAUGCCUAAAGUUGGAAAGGCUGACAAUGCUGUUUUUUGUUUGUUUGUUUGUUUGUUUGUUUUUGACAAUGUUUUUACAAAGAUGUGGAGUAAAAUAAAUGUCUUGUAAUGUU